rnacentral:rRNA from 1 species
AGUCGAGCGAUGAUGCUCCCUUCGGGGAGUACAUCAGCGGCAGACGGGUGAGUAACACGUAGAUAACCUGCCCUCAAGACGGGGACAACCGGUGGAAACAGCGGCUAAUACCCGAUAUGCUCACAGGAUCGGGAGAUCGAGUGAGGAAAGCGCCCCUUCGGGGGAGAGUGUUUGAGGAGGGAUCUGCGGCCCAUCAGCUAGUUGGUGAGGUAACGGCUCACCAAGGCGAAGACGGGUAGGGGGUGUGAGAGCAUGGCCCCCCACAAUGGGACUGAGACACGGCCCAUACUCCUACGGGAGGCAGCAGCGGGGAAUAUUGCGCAAUGGACGGAAGUCAGACGCAGCGACGCCGCGUGGGUGAGGAAGGCCUUCGGGUUGUAAAGCCCUUUUCAGGGGAGCGAGAAAGGACGGUACCCUUGGAAUAAGCGUCGGCUAACUACGUGCCAGCAGCCGCGGUAAGACGUAGGACGCAAGCGUUAUCCGGAUUUACUGGGCGUAAAGCGCCUGUAGGCGGUCAAGUAAGUCGGAUGUGAAAGCCCCGUGCUCAACGCGGGGAAAGCCAUUCGAUACUGCGUGACUAGAGAACGGCAGAGGGAAACGGGAAUUUCUGGUGUAGCCGGUAAAAUGCGCAGAGAUCAGAAAGAACACCGAUGGCGAAGGCAGUUUCCUUAGGCCGCAUCUUGACGCUUGAGAGGCGAAAGCUAGGGGAGCAACCAGGAUUAGAGACCCUGGUAGUCCUAGCUUGUAACCGAUGGAUGCUAGGUGUGGGG